rnacentral:rRNA from 1 species
UGAGGAAUAUUGGACAAUGGGUGAAAACCUGAUCCAGCCAUGCCGCGUGCAGGAAGACGGCCCUAUGGGUUGUAAACUGCUUUUGUAUGGGAGCAAUAAGCUCUACGCGUAGAGUGAUGAGAGUACCAUACGAAUAAGCAUCGGCUAACUCCGUGCCAGCAGCCGCGGUAAUACGUAGGGGGCAAGCGUUGUCCGGAAUUACUGGGCGUAAAGAGCACGUAGGCGGUAACCUAAGUCAGAUGGGAAAGACCAGGGCUUAACUCUGGGGUUGCAUACGAAACUGGGUAACUAGAGUGCAGGAGAGGAAAGUGGAAUUCCUAGUGUAGCGGUGAAAUGCGUAGAUAUUAGGAGGAACACCAGUGGCGAAGGCGGCCUGCUGGGCUUUUACUGACGCUGAGGCCCGAAAGUGUGGGUAGCAAACA